rnacentral:rRNA from 1 species
UACAGAGGUCCCAAGCGUUGUUCGGAUUCACUGGGCGUAAAGGGUGCGUAGGUGGCUACUUUAAGUUUGAUGUGAAAGCUCCGGGCUCAACCCGGAAAUGGCAUUGAAGACUAUUGAGCUAGAGGUUUGGAGGGGGGACUGGAAUGCUUGGUGUAGCAGUGAAAUGCGUAGAUAUCAAGAGGAACACCUGAGGUGAAGACGGGUUGCUGGGCUGACACUGACGCUGAGGCGCGAAAGCCAGGGGAGCAAACGGG